ACGGGUGAGUAACACGUAGGUAACCUACCCUUCAGUGGGGGACAACAGAGGGAAACUUCUGCUAAUACCGCAUACGAUCACGGACUGGGAUGUUCGUGGUGAAAGGAUUUAUUCGCUGAGGGAUGGGCCUGCGGCCUAUCAGGUAGUUGGUGGGGUAAUGGCCUACCAAGCCUGCGACGGGUAGCCGGACUGAGAGGUCGAUCGGCCACACUGGAACUGAGACACGGUCCAGACUCCUACGGGAGGCAGCAGUGGGGAAUAUUGCACAAUGGGGGAAACCCUGAUGCAGCGACGCCGCGUGGAGGAUGACGGCCUUCGGGUUGUAAACUCCUUUUGUCGGGGACAAUGGUGAUGGUACCCGACGAAUAAGCCACGGCUAACUCUGUGCCAGCAGCCGCGGUAAGACAGAGGUGGCGAGCGUUGUUCGGAAUUACUGGGCUUAAAGGGCGCGUAGGCGGUGGUGUAAGUCUAGGGUGGAAUGCUACAGCUCAACUGUAGAGCUGCCUUGGGAACUGCAUUACUUGAGUCGGUGAGGGGAAGGUGGAAUUCCAGGU
rnacentral:rRNA from 1 species